AUUGAACGCUGGCGGCAGGCUUAACACAUGCAAGUCGAGCGGGGUGAUGGUGCUUGCACUACCACUUAGCGGCGGACGGGUGAGUAAUGCUUAGGAAUCUGCCUAUUAGUGGGGGACAACAUCUCGAAAGGGAUGCUAAUACCGCAUACGUCCUACGGGAGAAAGCAGGGGAUCUUCGGACCUUGCGCUAAUAGAUGAGCCUAAGUCGGAUUAGCUAGUUGGUGGGGUAAAGGCCUACCAAGGCGACGAUCUGUAGCGGGUCUGAGAGGAUGAUCCGCCACACUGGGACUGAGACACGGCCCAGACUCCUACGGGAGGCAGCAGUGGGGAAUAUUGGACAAUGGGGGGAACCCUGAUCCAGCCAUGCCGCGUGUGUGAAGAAGGCCUUAUGGUUGUAAAGCACUUUAAGCGAGGAGGAGGCUCUUUUGGUUAAUACCCAAGAUGAGUGGACGUUACUCGCAGAAUAAGCACCGGCUAACUCUGUGCCAGCCGCCGCGGUAA
rnacentral:rRNA from 1 species